ACACGGACCAAGGAGUGCAAGAGGCGUGCAAGUCCUUGGGUUGCUUAGACCCUGGGGCACAAUGAAAGUGAAGGGGGCCACGUGUUCCCCAAGGCGAGAGCCUGCCCAUGUUGCGGUGCCCAUCGUCGACCGAUCCCAGGCUGCUCUGCGGUGGGAUUCGAGUGAGAGCAUGCCUGUUGCGACCCGAAAGAUGGUGAACUAUGCCUGAAUAGGGCGAAGCCAGAGGAAACUCUGGUGGAAGCUCGCAGCGGUUCUGACGUGCAAAUCGAUCGUCAAAUUUGGGUAUAGGGGCGAAAGACUAAUCGAACCGUCUAGUAGCUGGUUCCCUCCGAAGUUUCCCCCAGGAUAGCUGGAGCCCGGUGCAGUUUUAUCAGGUAAAGCGAAUGAUUAGAGGUCUUGGGGUUGAAACAACCUCAACCUAUUCUCAAACUUUAAAUGGGUAAGAAGCCCGGCUUGCUCAGUUGAAGCCGGGCAUUGGAAUGCCGGGGCUCCUAGUGGGCCAUUUUUGGUAAGCAGAACUGGCGAUGCGGGAUGAACCGAACGCUGGGUUAAGGUGCCCGAAUCGACGCUCAUCAGAUCCCAUAAAAGGUGUUGGUUGAUCUAGACAGCAGGACGGUGGCCAUGGAAGUCGGAACCCGCUAAGGAGUGUGUAACAACU
rnacentral:rRNA from 2 species